rnacentral:lncRNA from 1 species
GGGCACGUAGUCGUGCGAGAUGCUCCCAUCCGUGGUCACAAAUUCAUGCGAGAUGGUCCCAUCUGUGGGCACGUAGUCGUGCGAGAUGCUCCUUUCCGCAGAUACGAACUCGUGCGAGAUGCUCCUUUCUGCAGACACGAACUCGUGCGAGACGCUCCCUUCUGCGGGCACGUAGUCGUGCGAGAUGCUCCCUUCUAUAGGCACGAAGUCAUGCGAGAUGGUCCCAUCCCUGGGCACGUAGUCGUGCGAGAUGCUCCCAUCUGUAGGCACAAACUCGUGCAAGACGCUCCCUUCUGCAGGCACGUAGUCGUGCAAGAGGCUCCCAUCCACGUGCAAGAUGCUCUCAUCCAUGGGCACGUGCUUGUGCGAGGGGCUCCUAUCCGCAGGCACGUACUCAUGCGAGAUGCUCCCAUCCGUGGGCACGCGCUUGUGAGAGAUGCUCCCAUCCAUGAGCACGUGUUCGUGUGAGAUGCUCCCUUCUGCAGGCACGAACUCAUGCGAGAUGCUCCCAUCUGUGGGCACACGCUUGUGCGAGAUGCUCCCAUCCAUGAGCACGUGUUCGUGUGAGAUGCUCCCUUCUGCAGGCACGAACUCGUGCGAGAUGCUCCCAUCCAUGGACACGCUUUCAUGCGAGAUGCUCCCACCUGCAGGCACAUAGUCGUGCAAGAUGCUCCCAUCCGUGGGCACGUACUCAUGCAAGAUGCUCCCACCCGCAGGCACGUAGUCGUGCGAGAAGCUCCCAUCCGGGGGCACGUGGCCUUGGUGCUCAUGCAAGACGCUCCCAUCUAUGGGCACGUGGCCUCGGUGCUCGUGCGAGCCGCUCUCGUACGUGGCUAGGCCGCCUCGGUGCUCGUGCGGAAUGCUCCCGGCCAUCAGCACGUGGCCGUGAUGCUCGUGCGAGAUGCCACCAGCCGCCGGCUGCCCCUCGAUGGCUCCCUGCAGGUCCCACACGCACAUCUGAGCUUGCACGAGGCUGGCCCAGAAGACGUCGGCGCCCCGAGCCGGUUCCUCGGCGCCCGGCUCCCGGCGCCCGGCGUCUCCGGCUCCAUCCGAGAAGACGAUGGCGUCCUGCGCCGCCAGGAUGCUGGGCGGCG